UGAAGGAGCCAAUCACAGCUGGGGCUCUCACAACAAUCAUCCUGCCACCCCCCUCCAUCGCCUCCCUCUCCCCCACUCCUGCAACAGUAUCUGUGAUGAAAUGAAGCAGUGACAUCAAGCGAUGCAUCCCAGCAGCAGGAUCGAUGGUGCUGCCCUCAGUCAAGGUCAUCGAAGGAGAUGAGGAUUGAGGACAUGCUGGAGCUGAACAUGAGCAACAUUAGCGCCUUUGUGCUGCAGCAGCUGCUUGCGUUUUUCUUCAUGGGAUCACUGGUCAAAGACUUGGCUUACUACAGACACUGCUGGAGGCCGCUAACUUGCAGUUCAACCCUUCUGCAAGGUCUGCACCUCCCUCCUAGGUUGUUUACAGGCAGAGAUUCUGAGUGUGUCCAGGGAUGAUCUGGUGUCCUACCUAUCCAACGACAGUCUCAACACCAAGGCUGAGGAGCUGGUCUAAGAGAUGGUCAUCAAAUGGAUCAAACA